GAUGAACGCUGGCGGCGUGCCUAAUACAUGCAAGUCGAGCGAACAGACGAGGAGCUUGCUCCUCUGACGUUAGCGGCGGACGGGUGAGUAACACGUGGAUAACCUACCUAUAAGACUGGGAUAACUUCAGGAAACCGGAGCUAAUACCGGAUAAUAUAUUGAACCGCAUGGUUCAAUAGUGAAAGACGGUUUUGCUGUCACUUAUAGAUGGAUCCGCGCCGCAUUAGCUAGUUGGUAAGGUAACGGCUUACCAAGGCAACGAUGCGUAGCCGACCUGAGAGAGUGAUCGGCCACACUGGAACUGAGACACGGUCCAGACUCCUACGGGAGGCAGCAGUAGGGAAUCUUCCGCAAUGGGCGAAAGCCUGACGGAGCAACGCCGCGUGAGUGAUGAAGGUCUUCGGAUCGUAAAACUCUGUUAUUAGGGAAGAACAAAUGUGUAAGUAACUAUGCACGUCUUGACGGUACCUAAUCAGAAAGCCACGGCUAACUACGUG
rnacentral:rRNA from 1 species